UCAGCUGAUGGUGAUAGUGGAUACUCUGU
rnacentral:piRNA from 1 species